GAAAGGAAUGUGGGCUCAGUGAGCUGCAUCAUCCAUACCAGGAAGCCGACUGUCGCCUAAUGAAAAGAACUGCUGCUUUUCCGGCCGCCGUCUGUGCCUGGAGAACGGCUAGUACCCUUGGACCGGUCACUGGUGUGCCACGGAAACAGACUGCCGGCUAGAAUGCCAUCGACAGCUCCACUGGAGCUGCAUUCCUGUGUGACUCCCCACUUCCCUGUUUCUCAGAGCAACACUGCUCCUUGAUCUGGGCUCACGUCACGCAGGGCAGAAGAAGGGGGGAUACUCUCGGGAAGCCAGCCCGAAGACAGGCAGUCAGCCACAGGCUUCUUCAAGCAUUGGCUCACCGUAGCCAUUUUGGGCAAAUGUCAAAUGAUGUCAUCUACUGCAGAGGCUUCAUGUUGUGCCACUUCCGAUGUUGAGACAUGGGAAGCAAAGUGUAUGUAGUGCGCACAAAUGUCUACAGCAUGUCUGCGUCAGAGGGAGGAGGACUGUGAGAAGGACCAUUCAUCGUGUACUGGAUUCUGUCAGCUGAUCCCCAGUCUCACACCGAAAUUCCUGGCUCUCUAGGCCAUUCAGACCCAUCCCUCCAGACCCAUCCUUCUAGACCCAUCCCUGCAGAUCCAUCUUUCUAGACCCAUCCCUCCAGAUCCAUCUUUCUAGACCCAUCCCCCCAGACCCAUCCAUACAGACCCAUGCUUCUAGACCCAUCCCUAAAGACCCAUCCCUCCAGACCCAUCCUUCUAGACCCAUCCCUCCAGACCCAUCCUUCUAGACCCAUCCCUCCAGACCCAUCCUUCUAGACCCAACCCUAAAGACCCAUCCCUACAGACCCACCCCUAAAGACCUAUCCUUCUAGACCCACCCCUAAAGACCUAUCCUUCUAGACCCAUCUCUCCAGACCCAUGCCUACAGACCCAUCCCUACAGACCCAUGCUUCUAGACCCAUCCCUAAAGACCCAUCUCUCCAGACCCAUCCUUCUAGACCCCUCCCUACACACCCAUACUUCUAGACCCAUUCCUCCAGACUCAUCCCUACAGACCCAUGCUUCUAGACCCAUUCCUCCAGACUCAUCCCUACAGACCCAUGCUUCUAGACCCAUCCCUAAAGACCCAUCCCUCCAGACUUAUCCCUACAGACCCAUGCUUCUAGACCCAUCCCUAAAGACCCAUCCCUUCAGACCCAUCCCUCCAGACCCAUCCUUCUAGACCCAUCCCUACAGACCCAUCCAUUUAGACCCAUUCCUACAGAACCAUCAUUCUAGACCCAUCCCUAAAGACCCAUCCCUCCAGACCCAUCCAUUUAGACCCACCCCUGCAGACCCAUUCUUCUAGACCCAUCCCUCUAGGCCCAUCCCUCCAGACCCAUCCCUCUAGACCCAUCCCUCCAGACUCAUCCAUUUAGACCCAUUCCUACAGACCCAUCCCUACAGAACCACCCCUACAGACCCAUCCUUCUAGACCCAUCCCUAAAGAACCAUCCCUCCAGACCCAUCCAUUUAGACCCAUCCAUUUAGACCCAUCGUUCUAGACCCAUCCCUACAGACCCAUUCUUCUAGACCCAUCCCUACAGACCCAUCCCUCUAGAAUCAUCCCUCCAGACCCAUCACUGUAGAUCCAUCCCUAUAGACCCAUGCUUCUAGACCUAUCCCUAAAGACCCAUCCCUCCAGACCCAUCCUUCUAAACACAUCCCUAAAGACCCAUCCCACCAGACCCAUCCAUUUAGACCCACCCCUGCAGACCCAUCCCUCUAGACCCAUCCCUCCAGACCCAUCCUUCCAGACCCAUCCUUCUAGACCCAUCCCUACAGAACCACCCUUACAGCCCCAUCCUUCUAGACCCAUCCCUACAGACCCAUCCAUUUAGACCCAUCGUUCUAGACCCAUCCCUACAGACACAUCCCUGCAGACCAAUUCUUCUAGACCCAUCCCUACAGACCCACCCCUGCAGACCAAUUCUUCUAGACCCAUCCCUCCAGACCCAUCACUGUAGAUCCAUCCCUCCAAAUCUAUCCCUACAGACCAAUCCCUCCAGACCAAUCCAACCUGACCCAUCCCUCUUAACCAUCCCUCUAGAUCCAUCCCCCAGAUCCAUCCCUCCAGAUCCAUCUCUCUAGAUCCAUCCCUCUAGAUCCAUCCUUCCAGAUCCAUCUCUCUCCAGGCCAACUUACCUAUCACGGUAUGGGGCUCUGGGGCUGCCAGGCUGACUGUGCAAUGGGUCCAACUAAGGGAACAAUAACAGAAACUGAGGUUAAAAAAACCUGCGAGUCAUCUGGUCUACUGUGUAGAGCUUCUAUUAGAAAUCCCCUCUCAGCUCUCUGCCUGGCACACGAGCAGGGGGCCACAAUGGGCGGCUAGUUCCCCUGGGAUUUGGAACACAAAGGCAGGCCGCCACCCUCCCCUCUACAGCCCUGCUCUGUGCCUCCAACCCAACGGGAGCUUCUGGAACUCCUGAAUCAGCAGCUGAGUCCUGACUGAAUAACCCACGUAUCCAAACACACACAAACACAAGUAUGUGUGAACAAACGCACACACACGCAC